rnacentral:rRNA from 1 species
UACGGAGGGGGUUAGCGUUGUUCGGAAUGACUGGGCGUAAAGCGCGCGUAGGCGGAUCCUUAAGUCGGGGGUGAAAUCCUGGAGCUCAACUCCAGAACUGCCUUCGAUACUGAGGAUCUCGAGUCCGGGAGAGGUGAGUGGAUCUGCGAGUGUAGAGGUGAAAUUCGUAGAUAUUCGCAAGAACACCAGUGGCGAAGGCGGCUCACUGGCCCGGUACUGACGCUGAGGUGCGAAAGCGUGGGGAGCAAACAGG